AUACGGAGGGAGCGAGCGUUAAUCGGAAUUACUGGGCGUAAAGCGCGCGUAGGCGGCUUUGUAAGUCGGAUGUGAAAGCCCUGGGCUUAACCUGGGAAUGGCAUUCGAUACUGCAGAGCUAGAGUAUGGUAGAGGGAAGUGGAAUUUCCGGUGUAGCGGUGAAAUGCGUAGAUAUCGGAAGGAACACCAGUGGCGAAGGCGACUUCCUGGGCCAAUACUGACGCUGAGGUGCGAAAGCGUGGGGAGCAAACAGGAUUAGAAACCCGAGUAGUCC
rnacentral:rRNA from 1 species